ACUAGUACAUUCCCGAGAGUAAGAACAAACAGGACCACCAUUUCUCCAAAUGUUGCCAGGGGCCUUCCACCGUGUGAUUAUUGUAAUACCGUGAAUUCGGGUGCAUAUUUUCUUCGGAGAUCGACAGAGGCCUCUGUGCCAUCAGUGACAGCAGCUCCACCUUGUUUACCGUGUACGAAGCUACAGGCAGAUUGUGACCUCCCGGCAGAUGACCCAGCAGAUCAGGAUAAAACUGACAGCUUGUCGGAAGGAGAAAUAGCAGGAAUCGUAGUCGGAUGUGUGGUGCUAUUAGUACUUAUAGUUGUCAUUUCUAUAGUUAUUUGGAAAUUUUGUUGUAAGAAAUCCAAAAAAGUGUCUAUAUGAUGAUGCAGCACUUCCAUGUUUAUUAUAUAUAACCUGUCAUCAUGUAAAAGAAAACUGAUUCCGUCCUGCACUAUGAUAUAUUAUGUA